UACGUAGGUGGCAAGCGUUGUCCGGAGUUACUGGGCGUAAAGGGUGCGUAGGCGGCUGCGCGCGUGGAGGGUGAAAUCUCUCGGCUUACCCGGGAGGGGGCUUUCCAGACGGCGUGGCUUGAGGGACGGAGAGGGGCGUGGAAUUCCGGGUGGAGCGGUGAAAUGCGUAGAGAUCCGGAGGAACACCGACGGCGUAGGCAGCGCCCUGGCCGUUUCCUGACGCUGAAGCACGAAAGCUGGGGGAGCAAACAGG
rnacentral:rRNA from 1 species